rnacentral:lncRNA from 1 species
CUAUAACUCGAAAACUAUCAAUUUUUGAGAAAAUUUACAAGAUACCUUUCUUGUUUAGAAUGACCCACAAAACUUAAAAAUAUAUGUUCUGAAGCAGAAAAAGGUGAAUUUGUUUAAACCAUUUCUGCCCAAAAAUUCCGCCAGGCACCCUUUAGAUUUGUUUAAAGGGGACAUUUUUGAAUAGGAAUCCACAAAGAAACCGAAUCAGAAAUUUUUCCAGACGGGAGCGGUUUCACCACAUGGACUGUGCAGCCCAAAAUUAUUGACAAUAUAAUUUUGAAGUCAUCUACUUUAAAAUGAACAUUAAAUUAUUAGAAUAAUUUUUUAUCAAGUAACAAAAAAAAAAUAAAAACAACAUUUGUUUAAUUUAUUAAUGUUUUGUAUUUUGGGAAUGAUUUCCGAAGUCGAAAUCUAAACUUCAAAUAUAAACUUUUUAAAGUAAAAUUGUGGCUUAUUCAGAAUAGAAUAGGUUCAGAUCAAUAUUAAGGCAUUAUUAUAUUAACUAGAAAAAAA